rnacentral:rRNA from 1 species
GAUGAACGCUAGCGGGAGGCUUAAUACAUGCAAGUCGAACGGCAGCAAUUCGGAUGGCGAGUGGCGCACGGGUGAGUAACGCGUACAGACCUGCCUUCUACUGGAGAAUAGCCCUGGGAAACUGGGAGUAAUACUCCAUGUGAUCGCAAGAUUAAAGCUCCGGCGGUAGAAGAUGGCUGUGCGUCUGAUUAGCUAGUUGGUGAGGUAACGGCUCACCAAGGCGACGAUCAGUAGGGGGCGUGAGAGCGUGACCCCCCACACGGGUACUGAGACACGGACCCGACUCCUACGGGAGGCAGCAGUAAGGAAUAUUGGGCAAUGGAGGCAACUCUGACCCAGCCAUCCCGCGUGCAGGAUGAAGGCGCUACGCGUUGUAAACUGCUUUUAUUUGGGACGAAAAUUAGAUAUUUAUAUUUAACUGACGGUACCUUAUGAAUAAGCACCGGCUAACUCCG